UACAGAGGGGGCAAGCGUUGUUCGGAAUUACUGGGCGUAAAGGGCGCGUAGGCGGCCUUCUAAGUCGAACGUGAAAUCCCUCGGCUCAACCGGGGAACUGCGUGUGAUACUGGCGGGCUUGAAUUCGGGAGAGGGAUGUGGAAUUCCAGGUGUAGCGGUGAAAUGCGUAGAUAUCUGGAGGAACACCGGUGGCGAAGGCGGCAUCCUGGACCGAGAUUGACGCUGAGGCGCGAAAGCUAGGGGAGCAAACGGG
rnacentral:rRNA from 1 species